rnacentral:lncRNA from 1 species
UAUCAUGAACUAACUAAUACGAGCUAAUAUUAAUGACUAUUAAUUUAUUCAUUGACUAAUACAAAUAAGUAAAAUAAAAUCAAACAGCUCCAUCUUCUUUCAUUAUGGAUCCAUCACCGAUUUGGUGGUCUAUUUUCCCCUCGGUUUGCUCAAAGAAGUCUGCCACAUCCAAGUGGGUAAUGUCAAAGUUGUCGUCAGAGACAAAAUUCGUUUCAGGGCGUUUACUCUUUCGAGAUGCUUGAUAAAGGUCAACCAAAUGUCUUAGUAUACGGCAAGUCUUUGACCAGUGCCCUUUCCCACCGCAACGAUAACAUAUAGUUCUGAACUAUUUGCCUUAGGAUCCUCAUAAUCCCGUUUCUGCUUUCGGCGGUUAUCUCUCCU